rnacentral:rRNA from 1 species
CCUACGGGGUGCAGCAGUAGGGAAUUUUUCACAAUGGGCGAAAGCCUGAUGGAGCAACGCCGCGUGCAGGAUGAAGGCCUUCGGGUUGUAAACUGCUUUUAUAAGCGAGAAAUAUGAUGGUAACUUAUGAAUAAGGAUCGGCUAACUACGUGCCAGCAGCCGCGGUCAUACGUAGGAUCCGAGCAUUAUCCGGAGUGACUGGGUGUAAAGAGUUGCGUAGGUGGCAUAAUAAGUAGCUAGUGAAAUCUGGUGGCUCAACCAUUCAGACUAUUAGCUAAACUGUUAAGCUCGAGACCGUUAGGGGUAACUGGAAUUUCUAGUGUAGGAGUGAAAUCCGUAGAUAUUAGAAGGAACACCAAUAGCGUAGGCAGGUUGCUGGGACGGUUCUGACACUAAGGCACGAAAGCGUAGGGAGCAAACGGGAUUAGAUACCCCAGUAGUC